GACGAACGCUGGCGGCGUGCCUAACACAUGCAAGUCGAGCGAAUGAAGUUCCUUCGGGAACGGAUUUAGCGGCGGACGGGUGAGUAACACGUGGGCAACCUGCCUCAUAGAGGGGAAUAGCCUUUCGAAAGGGAGAUUAAUACCGCAUAAGAUUGUAGUACCGCAUGGUACAGCAAUUAAAGGAGCAAUCCGCUAUGAGAUGGGCCCGCGGCGCAUUAGCUAGUUGGUGAGGUAACGGCCCACCAAGGCGACGAUGCGUAGCCGACCUGAGAGGGUGAUCGGCCACAUUGGGACUGAGACACGGCCCAGACUCCUACGGGAGGCAGCAGUGGGGAAUUUUGCACAAUGGGGGAAACCCUGAUGCAGCAACGCCGCGUGAGUGAUGACGGCCUUCGGGUUGUAAAGCUCUGUCUUCAGGGACGAUAAUGACGGUACCUGAGGAGGAAGCCAGGGCUAACUACGUGCCAGCCGCCGCCGUAA
rnacentral:rRNA from 1 species